rnacentral:rRNA from 1 species
GACGAACGCUGGCGGCGUGCUUAACACAUGCAAGUCGAGCGGUAAGGCCCUUUCGGGGGUACACGAGCGGCGAACGGGUGAGUAACACGUGGGUGACCUGCCCUCAGCUCUGGGAUAAAGCCUGGGAAAACCGGGUCUAAUACCGGAUAUGACUCCAUGACGCAUGUUGUGGGGUGGAAAAGCCUUGUGCGGCUGAGGAUGGGCCCGCGGCCUAAUCAGCUU